ACAGCAGCAGCCACGGUAAUACGGAGGGGGCUAGCGUUGUUCGGAAUUACUGGGCGUAAAGCGCACGUAGGCGGCUUGGUAAGUUAGAGGUGAAUGCCCGGAGCUCAACUCCGGAAUUGCCUUUAAGACUGCCGAGCUAGUAGGUGAGAGAGGUAAGUGGAAUUCCGAGUGUAGAGGUGAAAUUCGUAGAUAUUCGGAAGAACACCAGUGGCGAAGGCGGCUUACUGGCUCAUUCUAGACGCUGAGGUGCGAAAGCGUGGGGAGCAAACAGGAUUAGAUACCCGUGUAGUCCCUGUCUCUUAUAC
rnacentral:rRNA from 1 species